rnacentral:rRNA from 1 species
UACGGAGGGUGCGAGCGUUGUCCGGAAUCACUGGGCGUAAAGGGCGCGUAGGCGGCGCGAGCAGUCGAUCGUGAAAGUCCGGAGCUCAACUCCGGAUCGGCGGUCGAUACUCUCGUGCUUGAGCACUGUAGAGGCAGAUGGAAUUCCGGGUGUAGCGGUGGAAUGCGUAGAGAUCCGGAAGAACACCGGUGGCGAAGGCGGUCUGCUGGGCAGUUGCUGACGCUGAGGCGCGAAAGCGUGGGGAGCAAACGGG